AACGAACGCUGGCGGCAUGCCUAACACAUGCAAGUCGAACGAAACCUUCGGGUCUAGGGGCGCACGGGGGCGUAACGCGUGGGAACCUGCCCUUAGGUUCGGUAUAACUCCCCGAGAGGGAUGCUAAUACCGGUGAGUGUCUUCCGACCAAAGAUUUAUCGCCUUUGGAUGGGCGCGCGUUGGAUUAGCUGGUUGGGAGGGUACAAGCAUACCAAGGCGAGGAUGCAUAGCUGGUCGGAGAGGAUGAUCAGCUACACUGGGAAUGAGACACGGCCCAGUAUCGUACGCAAGGGAGGAGUGGGGAAUAUUGUAGGCUGGGGGAUAGCCUGACCACGCAACGCGGCGUAAGAGAUGAAGGGCGUAGGGUUGUAAAGCUCUUUUACCCGAGAUGAUAAUGACAGUACCGGGAGAAGAAGCACCGGCUAACUCCGUG
rnacentral:rRNA from 1 species